rnacentral:lncRNA from 1 species
GAUACGCACCAGAAGCCAUCUUCACUGAUCGGCCUCUCCGAAAAACCGGAGUUACUAUUCACUUUAAGUGAUUAGUAUUGAUCGCGUAACUUCUCCAUUCUAACUCGUUUUCUCCUGAAACUUCACAAGUGCUUAUGUAAUUAAAUUACACAUAAAAAUAUCAUCAAAAGAGAUUUUAGCUACACUGCCAAAAUCUCAAUCCUUACAAUUUAUUAUUUAAAUAAUUAAAUAAUGUAUUAUUUAUAAUUAAUUAGCUAAUUAAAUAAUUAAUUAUUAUAAUGUUUAUGCAAAAUCUAAUAUUUAUGUUGACCAACUCAUUAAUAUUUUGACUACUCUAAUUAUUUUAUUAACUAAUUAUCUAACUAUUAGAUAAUUAAUUAAUUGAUUUAUUAAUUUACUAAAUCACUUGUGAGACCCCAGUUAGUCCUAUAUAUAGGAUAUAAUAAGGCUAAACUCUUAAUCCGGCUUAAGCAUUUUGGGUGGUGGCUAGAUCCAAGAGGUUAAGAGAGUUAAGCGUGCUAGGACAGGAGUAGUCCUAGGAUGGAUAACCUCCUGGGAAGUUGGGACGUCACUCUUGGUAUCAGAGCCAAUUACCAAUUAGAAGUACUCACAUUGCCUGCUACUUGUAAAGUCUGAGCCUGACAAGGACGUCAAGACUUAAAGGAGG